CCUACGGGAGGCUGCAGUGGGGAAUAUUGCACAAUGGGGGAAACCCUGAUGCAGCGACGCCGCGUGAGUGAAGAAGGUAUUCGUUAUGUAAAGCUCUAUCAGCAGGGAAGAAAAGGACGGUACCUGAGUAAGAAGCCCCGGCUAACUACGUGCCAGCAGCCGUGGCAAUACGUAGGGGGCAAGCGUUAUCCGGAUUUACUGGGUGUAAAGGGAGCGUAGACGGCAGUGCAAGUCUGGAGUGAAAGGCGGGGGUUCAACCCCCGGACUGCUCUGGAAACUGGACGGCUGGAGUGGAGGAGAGGUAAGUGGAAUGCGUAGUGUAGCGGUGAAAUGCGUAGAUAUUAGGAGGAACACCAGUGGCGAAGGCAGCUUACUGGACUGUAACUGACGUUGAGGCUCGAAAGCGUGGGGAGCAAACAGGAUUAGAUACCCGAGUAGUC
rnacentral:rRNA from 1 species